rnacentral:rRNA from 1 species
GAUGAACGCUGACAGAAUGCUUAACACAUGCAAGUCUUUGGCGAAGCUGUGCUUGCACAGCCUAGCCAAGGCGGACGGGUGAGUAACGCGUAAUGAACUUGCCCUGCAGUCAGGGAUAACAGACGGAAACGACUGAUAAGACCUGGUAAAGUCAGGCGGACUCAUGUCCAGCCUGAUGAAAAGAGAUGCUGCAGGAGAGCCUUGCGUCCUAUUAGCUUGUUGGUGGGGUAACGGCCCACCAAGGCGAUGAUAGGUAGCCGGCCUGAGAGGGUGGACGGCCACAAGGGGACUGAGAUACGGCCCUUACUCCUACGGGAGGCAGCAGUGGGGAAUAUUGGACAAUGGGGGCAACCCUGAUCCAGCAAUUCUGUGUGCACGAUGAAGGUUUUCGGAUUGUAAAGUGCUUUCAGCAGGGAAGAAAAAAUGACGGUACCUGCAGAAGAAGCGACGGCUAAAUACGUG